rnacentral:rRNA from 1 species
ACUACGGGGGGCAGCAGUGGGGAAUAUUGCACAAUGGGGGGAACCCUGAUGCAGCGACGCCGCGUGAGUGAAGAAGUAUUUCGGUAUGUAAAGCUCUAUCAGCAGGGAAGAAAAUGACGGUACCUGACUAAGAAGCCCCGGCUAACUACGUGCCAGCAGCCGCGGUAAGACGUAGGGGGCAAGCGUUAUCCGGAUUUACUGGGUGUAAAGGGAGCGCAGACGGCGGUGCAAGUCUGGAGUGAAAGGCGGGGGCCCAACCCCCGGACUGCUCUGGAAACUGUAAAGCUGGAGUGCAGGAGAGGUAAGCGGAAUUCCUAGUGUAGCGGUGAAAUGCGUAGAUAUUAGGAGGAACACCAGUGGCGAAGGCGGCUUACUGGACUGCAACUGACGUUGAGGCUCGAAAGCGUGGGGAGCAAACAGGAUUAGAUACCCCAGUAGUC